rnacentral:lncRNA from 1 species
GGAAAGCAUUAAGUAAGACUUUGUUUGUAAGACAACAAACUUGACCAGUGUCCUCAGCCAAGGAAAAAUGAUACUGCAACUUUAAAUUUUAAAGUACCUUGCACUGAUAAAUAUAUUUAAAAGUUAUAUGUUUAUAAAGUUAUUAAUUUGUAAAGGCAGUGUUACAAAAUGUUCAGUUUAUAUUGUUUUAGAUUGUUUCGUAAUUUUUAAAGGUGUAAAAUAACAUAUUUUUUCUUUAUUGAAAUCUAUAAGACUUUCCGUAGUAAGAUGUCUCAUUUUCUGGUAUAUUAUUGCUUCAUGUUUUGUACCCUCAUAAAAUUUUGUGCAAAUUUUUUUUACAGAAAUUUUUAUUUUCUAUGAUGAUAUGUAUGACACUUGUAAAUUGUUUCAAAAUGAACAGCGAAGCCUUAACUUGAAAUGACAUUUGUAUUCUCUGAGUAGCAUAAAAACCACCUAGAAUGAACUGUAACUUAAUCUCGAAACUACACAUUCCAAAGAAGCAGUUGAAUUAAACGUUUUCAUAAAAAUCCCAAA